rnacentral:rRNA from 1 species
AGUGCUUGCACUCUCUGAAGUUAGCGGCGGACGGGUGAGUAACACGUGGGUAACCUACCUAUAAGACUGGGAUAACUUCGGGAAACCGGAGCUAAUACCGGAUAAUAUUUAGCUUCGCAUGAAGCAAUAGUGAAAGACGGUUCUGCUGUCACUUAUAGAUGGACCCGCGGUGUAUUAGCUAGUUGGUGAGGUAACGGCUCACCAAGGCAACGAUACAUAGCCGACCUGAGAGGGUGAUCGGCCACACUGGGACUGAGACACGGCCCAGACUCCUACGGGAGGCAGCAGUAGGGAAUCUUCCGCAAUGGACGAAAGUCUGACGGAGCAACGCCGCGUGAGUGAAGAAGGUUUUCGGAUCGUAAAACUCUGUUGUAAGGGAAGAACAAGUACGUUAGUAACUGAACGUACCUUGACGGUACCUUACCAGAAAGCCACGGCUAACUACGUGCCAGCAGCCGCGGUAAUACGUAGGUGGCAAGCGUUAUCCGGAAUUAUUGGGCGUAAAGCGCGCGUAGGCGGUCUCUUAAGUCUGAUGUGAAAGCCCCCGGCUCAACCGGGGAGGGUCAUUGGAAACUGGGAGACUUGAGUGCAGAAGAGGAGAGUGGAAUUCCAUGUGUAGCGGUGAAAUGCGCAGAGAUAUGGAGGAACACCAGUGGCGAAGGCGGCUCUCUGGUCUGUAACUGACGCUGAGGUGCGAAAGCGUGGGG